rnacentral:vault_RNA from 1 species
GCGGAGGUUUAGCUCAGUGGUUACUUCUCAUACUUAGCAGUUAUCCACUCCAUGAGCCAUGGGCUCCGGGGUUCAAACCACGGGCGCUGUCCUCUGCUUUU